rnacentral:misc_RNA from 1 species
CUACGGCUGGCAGCAACGCUUCCGCGACCUCUACGACAAGGCGCAGGUCAAAUAUCGCAACGAAGUGCGCAAGGUGGAGCUGAUGUUCACGCCGCGUGAAGUCGGCGUGCUCCGCGACUUCGGCGCCAAGCCGAUGGAGCUCUACGACUACGCGGAAGACUCAGCCGAUCUCGACUGGGAGACGGCGCUCCUGAUCACCGCGGUCCGACGCGAUUACUUCCUGCACGAGCAGGGCGGCAAGUGGAGCGAAAAGACGAUCUCGGUCGAGAAGCUGCCGGCGAAAACGGAUGAACUCGACGGCAUCGUCUGGCUGCCACGGAUCAUCGAAAAGGCGAAGGCGCGGCUGCGCGGUGAAAUGCCUAACGACCUG